CCUACGGGGGGCUGCAGUGGGGAAUAUUGGACAAUGGGCGAAAGCCUGAUCCAGCCAUGCCGCGUGUGUGAAGAAGGCCUUCGGGUUGUAAAGCACUUUCAGUGGGGAAGAAAGCCUUGGGGCUAAUACCCUCGAGGAAGGACAUCACCCACAGAAGAAGCACCGGCUAAUCCGUGCCAGCAGCCGCGGUAAUACGGAGGGUGCGAGCGUUAAUCGGAAUUACUGGGCGUAAAGCGCGCGUAGGCGGUCUGAUAAGCCGGUUGUGAAAGCCCCGGGCUCAACCUGGGAACGGCAUCCGGAACUGUGAGGCUAGAGUGCAGGAGAGGAAGGUAGAAUUACCGGUGUAGCGGUGAAAUGCGUAGAGAUCGGGAGGAAUACCAGUGGCGAAGGCGGCCUUCUGGACUGACACUGACGCUGAGGUGCGAAAGCGUGGGUAGCAAACAGGAUUAGAUACCCUGGUAGUC
rnacentral:rRNA from 1 species